rnacentral:rRNA from 1 species
UACGUAGGAGGCAAGCGUUGUCCGGAAUUACUGGGCGUAAAGCGCGUGUAGGUGGUGGGACAAGUCUGCUGUGAAAGCGCCUGGCUUAACCGGGCGAGGUCGGCGGAAACUGCCUCACUGGAGGACGGUAGAGGGGGGUGGAAUUCCCGGUGUAGUGGUGAAAUGCGUAGAGAUCGGGAGGAACACCUGUGGCGAAGGCGGCCCCCCUGGGCCGGCCCCUGACACUGAGACGCGAAGGCGUGGGGGAGCGAACGGG